ACUUUUGCAUGGGUGGCCAUUUCCACUAAAUGUUUGCAACUCAAAUCCACUUGUGCUCCAAAUGCAGCCUUAGAAUUUAAAACCAAUAUGACAUUUGUUGCCAACUGUUCUCUCAGUUGCAAUGGCUAUUGGAUCACACUGCUUAUCUCAAAAUGUUUGUUAGUGGAUAUUAAUAGCACUGCUUCAACUACAGAAAUACAAAAUUCCAAGGUAUGAAAAUGAUUUGUAUCCUCUCAUUAUGCAAGGUGCAACAACAUAAAGGAUGACAACUAUUGAGGAAAUGGUGGGCAUGUAUGUGUUGUGUGUUUCCCAUAUUUGCGAAAGGGUACGAAAAAGAUCUGGCAAUUAUAGCAAAUGAAGCUAUCCAGAAGGCUACUCGCAAUAAAUUGGUUGUUGUUUUUGUAGAUAUAGCUAGGUGGAUGUAGGACAAUGAACAACACUGAUGAGAGCACUUUCCAAGCUCAUUUAUCUUAACAACCUGGAUCUGGUUCUUUUAGCUGGAGAGGCACGAUCAGGUUUUGUAUUUGUUGCAACUUUAUUGUACUCUCUACAUCAAAAUCAUGCUUUUCAAUUCCCUUCUAUUGGAGAAGAAAGAAAAUAGCAGCCAUACAAGAAAAUAAAAUAUAUGGUUAACCAAUGAGAAAUUGAUAGAAUUACAGUUCAGAAACAAAAUAUGUUCUUAUACUUGUUUGUCUUUUAAAGAAUUCGGAAAGAUGGGUAUUGAUUUUUUAUUUUAUUUUUAGAAUUUUUGAAUUUUGAACAGGUUAGGCUGUUGAUUGUAGAUGGGUACUAGAACAGCUUGCUUGCUCUGUUUGAGCACUAAUGUAAGAAAUUUGGAUGGGUACUACAUCCAAAGCUAGCCUAAGUUAUUUCUUCUGGUUCAUUGAAUUUUGAGACCAGUAGCUCUCUAACUAUAGUUAACCUGUCUUUUAUUCUCUAGUUUGUGAUUGUUGUAGAUGAUGAAAAUGGUGAUGAAGAAGGAGAUCUUAUCAUGGAAGCAUAUCUUACAAGUUUAAUGUCAUUUGUUUCAUUUCAGUUAUCAGUCUCUUUUAUAUUUUAUCAAAUCAAUAAAAGCUUUCACAAUCUUAAACAAUAAAACUAACAAUCAUCAACAUCCAUGAAGAUGAAAGCUUCACAAGAUGUUAAAAAUCUUACACAUUGAAGAGAAUAGAGAAGAAGAAGAAGAAGAUCAGGAAAAUACAUCAAGUUUAUUUUCUUCUUCUUAGACCUUCAUAUGAUUUGGCUUAGCUCUUGUAGAGGGCUGAAUUAUUUUUUUAGUUCCUCCUUCCAGCUCUUCAAAAUAUGAUGCGACUGGAAUUCCUAAUACAAACCUGCAUUUCUUCUUUUAUACACUUCAGCUUUCAACCCACACACCAUGUCAUGUGCCAAGCACAUGCCAUGUCACCAACCUGACACUAUUUCAUUUCCCUUCAUCUGAAUUUGAAUUUCAAAUUGAAGACUCAAUUGCAUUAUGAAGGAGUUCUCUGAUGGAUAGCACUUGUACAUAUCCCCCACGUGCUAGAGACUGGUUAAAUUGUGGUAGGUUACAGUGGCAUGUAUGGCUACACACUAAAUUAGCAACAACUUGCAGAGCAAAAAAAAAAAACAAUUCUACAAGUGAUCUUCCUAACCUAUCCAUGUUAGAUUGUCACGUGUAUAGUGUGCAUAUAGAUGAACAUAUGGAUAAAAUACAUGCAUGCUUGUUGGUGCUUCCUGUUGAAAGGGUUGAAGCCCUAAUUUCUCCUACAGGGAACUGACAUUUCUACAAGUUGUGAAGGGAGGUGUUUGAGGUCCUUCCAUGCAACUAAAGAUGCUGGUGUUGACUCAGCCUGUAAAUCUCUUAGCAUGUCUAAGGCUCAAGUGAAAGCAUGCACGCUUAUGAAACCAUCUUUCAUUUUUACCAUAUGUCAUGUUUUUGUUCAUCUUGCUUCCAAAAGUUUGGGGCAUUCACCUUCACAUUGUUGGUUUGGCACAGGCAAUUCAAAACUUAAUGUGUGCAAAUUGCCAAUACAAACGGCAUCAGUGUUUUUUUUUUUGUGGGAUGUU